UGUUCACAGUGUGUGUGCAGGACAGCAUGUGUCAUGAUGGCAUGUGGAGGGCAGAGGACAGAGUUGGUUCUCUUCUGUUCCUACUACUUCUACUUCUAUUCCAGGUAGCCAAGCUUUUGUGGCAGGUGACUUUACCCAUAAAACCACCUCACCAGCCCCAAGCAGGACCUUUGGAUCUUCCCUUCAGGGAGGUGGGAACAGCAUCCUUUCUUAACUUAGUUCAGAAGUGAAUUCUGGGCAGUGAGUCUAGCUUAGUAACACUGACCUAUUCUUUAAUCUUGCUGCUGAAUCUAUUCUCAUACUCUAAUCUUUCCUUAGCAUAUGUUUUCUAAAAUUCUUUCAGAAUACUCUCUUUGGGCCUUUUUCAUACUGUUGCUUCUUUGUUCACAGUUUCAUAACUGUAUACAAAUGGGUGAUGUAUCUUAAUUGCACUUACUUCCUGCUUUCUGUUAUCUUCUCCCACCUCCACCAACCCUCCUCCCUCUUAUAAGUCCUUUAUCUGUAGUCAUUGUCUUUUUGUUUUGUCCUGCAACACAUUGAGUUCAACCUGGGACUUCCAUAUAAAUGUGAGUGUGGAGUUCUCCACUGGCACCUGCAGGCUCAUCAACACUACACAACAGAAGACAAUCCUCUCCACCACCUAGUGGCCACUAAUAACCAAUUGGCUCCUCGGGGACACAUAGGGUCCCCUGCGCCCCUCCCUAAAUGCAUGACUAAUAGUUGACCAGCCAAGUUUAGUGUAGGCAACCAUAGCUGCUGUGAGUUCAUGAUUGCAACAGCCAUGUCACAGACAGCCUGUAGGCUUUCAAAGCACUUCUGCCUGUCAUCUCGCUCUUACGUGUUUUAUGCUCCCUCUUUUGUGGCGUUCCCCAAGCCUUAGAGAUAGAGAUGCUGAUCUUCUGUUCAGAUCUAAGCACUGAACACUCACUUAUUCUUAACACCUUGAGCAGAAGACUUACAGUGAAUGUCUAUCUAGUUUAUAAGACUUACUGUGAAAAGUUCCAGAAGGCUGUUAAUAGGCACAUUGAUAUCUGUGUUCUCGUUCCAGCAGAAGACAAAGGCAGGUAACUCUAGCAAAGCUAGACUGUGAUCACUAUAAAUUGGCUUAUUCAUUCAUUCCGUCAACAAAGAUUUGUUAACUUUUCCUACGGUUUAUAAUUUAUAACCUAUUAGAAUAAAGAGCUUUCAGCAACAAUCCGUUUAAAGGACAUGCAGAUUAAAGGGGUUAGGACAAAGACACUGGAGUUUCAGAAGGAUUCGUGAAAAGCUCCUAGAGAACAAUGCUGGCUCUGGAUUCUGUUGGCUUGGAAGGCAUAGCGCCUUAAGUAGAGAACAGUCAAUGUCAGCUGAUUAGCAAAAUGCUCCAAGCACUGUGCAGGACAUAUGCUGAAGUUCUCCAGAAGCAGCGAAUGGACAAGUGUUGUGCCACCGCAAACACGAGUUUUCCUUCCUGUAAAGCGUACCCAGUUUUGGAAUAAAUAUGAUAUUUCAUUUUGAACAUUCA